AUUUUCUCACAAAGAAUCCGUUUGUAGACAUGCACACUCAUUUAAUCUGCAGCUACGAAGUACUUUGUCACUUCUCUGUAACAUUAUUCUAAGCAGAAUUAUCCUGAUUCAUAUAUUCUAAGAAUCUUGUGUGAAUUGUUUACGAGGAAAUUCUGACUGUCACAUUAACAAGGAUGAACACUCUUGACUCUGCUUCGGAUUUCCCAGUGAUAAUUGUAUCGAGUGAUGAAAGAGCUGACGGCGACAUUUUAAUGUAUGAUUGGCUUGGACCAUUGGAAUGAAGGUUAGAAUAUUUUUAUUACUUAAAAUUUACACUACUGUCAGAUUACAUGACAGUGACAUACAUUGAUGUUAUUAGAAAUACACAGACACACCGAUAUAUUAUCUGUUUUACAGUUCAGACGCUCUCUGUUUGCCUUGUAAAUCCCCACAGCUUUAUAUUUUAUUUUUUUUUUAAAUUUGAGGAUGUAAUUUCAACAGCCCUACUAUCUAUCAUAGUGAUCAUACUCUAUAAUUCAAACUGCACUUAAUGUUUCAGAAUAUAUUCAACUAAUUAUAUAUUGACAGUGUGACUGUAAGGGUGAGGGCAGAUACUUAUUUAGUUUUAAUUUAGAUUGUGCUUGUCAAGCCGCAUUUGACAUUUGGUGCAUCCAUGCUCAGUGUUCACACUGAGAGUUUAUUCAAAUGUUUAAUACGAAUGAAUUCACUGCUCGUUAAAUUACUUCCCAUUAGCUCCAUGGGAACAUGAGUAAGGAUAGCUAAUUCAAAUUCAAUAGACAUGAAUUUUGAAUGUAGCUUAAACAUUAUAAAGAAGCUAAGCACUGUGGGUCCAAAGUAUACUGCGGAAAAAUUGUGUGGAGCAAUGUGCAAGUCACAAUCUUCUUUUGCCAAGGUGUUAUCAUAAGAGCUCGCAUUAUGGGCAGGGAUUUGUGCUGCUGUCUGGACUCGCUAUAAAUAGAUGUUCUCAAAAAGUCUUAAUUAUUUAAUAUCAUACUUUACUGACAAAAAAGGACAAAUAUUGCUCAGUUAAAUUGCAAAAGAAAUUUGUUUAAAAAAAUUGUAAUAAUAGAAAGUUUGCUUUUUUGUUUGAUAAGACUGCUGUAAUGGUUUAAUGUUUGUUUAUUUGCCUUAAUCAUACAUUUUUCAGUCAUUUCAUGGUGCCACCACUUGGGAUGGUAUUAGCUGCAAAUAUAGAGUUGCACUCAGCACUUAUUGCCUUUAAGAAGUAUGAGAUCCAUUUUGUGCUAACACCUACCCUGAAACAGAAUCUUGGUUUAUGCAGUCUCAUAGGAGUAACCUGUCUAAAGCAUUUAGCAAUGGGAUUGGAACCUGCGACGUGUGACUCAUCUGAAUACUGAAUUUUGAUACCAAGCAUGACCAUGAUUUGCCAGAAGAUCAUCUGUUUGGAUGUGACAUGGAAUAAACAGCAUAGUGAAAAUAAGUCAAGUUUUGAGAAUUUUACACUCCUAUUGAGGUACCACCAGUUGCUAGUGGAAAGCUGCAAAUUCGAAACAUACACAACACAUUUCUGUGCGUUUAUUAUAAAAGUAU